rnacentral:rRNA from 1 species
AAAUUGAAGAGUUUGAUCAUGGCUCAGAUUGAACGCUGGCGGCAGGCCUAACACAUGCAAGUCGAGCGGUAGCACAGAGAGCUUGCUCUCGGGUGACGAGCGGCGGACGGGUGAGUAAUGUCUGGGAAACUGCCUGAUGGAGGGGGAUAACUACUGGAAACGGUAGCUAAUACCGCAUAACGUCGCAAGACCAAAGUGGGGGACCUUCGGGCCUCAUGCCAUCAGAUGUGCCCAGAUGGGAUUAGCUAGUAGGUGGGGUAACGGCUCACCUAGGCGACGAUCCCUAGCUGGUCUGAGAGGAUGACCAGCCACACUGGAACUGAGACACGGUCCAGACUCCUACGGGAGGCAGCAGUGGGGAAUAUUGCACAAUGGGCGCAAGCCUGAUGCAGCCAUGCCGCGUGUGUGUGUGAAGAAGGCCUUCGGGUUGUAAAGCACUUUCAGCGGGGAGGAAGGCGAUAAGGUUAAUAACCUUGUCGAUUGACGUUACCCGCAGAAGAAGCACCGGCUAACUCCGUGCCAGCAGCCGCGGUAAUACGGAGGGUGCAAGCGUUAAUCGGAAUUACUGGGCGUAAAGCGCACGCAGGCGGUCUGUCAAGUCGGAUGUGAAAUCCCCGGGCUCAACCUGGGAACUGCAUUCGAAACUGGCAGGCUAGAGUCUUGUAGAGGGGGGUAGAAUUCCAGGUGUAGCGGUGAAAUGCGUAGAGAUCUGGAGGAAUACCGGUGGCGAAGGCGGCCCCCUGGACAAAGACUGACGCUCAGGUGCGAAAGCGUGGGGAGCAAACAGGAUUAGAUACCCUGGUAGUCCACGCCGUAAACGAUGUCGAUUUGGAGGUUGUGCCCUUGAGGCGUGGCUUCCGGAGCUAACGCGUUAAAUCGACCGCCUGGGGAGUACGGCCGCAAGGUUAAAACUCAAAUGAAUUGACGGGGGCCCGCACAAGCGGUGGAGCAUGUGGUUUAAUUCGAUGCAACGCGAAGAACCUUACCUGGUCUUGACAUCCACAGAACUUUCCAGAGAUGGAUUGGUGCCUUCGGGAACUGUGAGACAGGUGCUGCAUGGCUGUCGUCAGCUCGUGUUGUGAAAUGUUGGGUUAAGUCCCGCAACGAGCGCAACCCUUAUCCUUUGUUGCCAGCGGUUCGGCCGGGAACUCAAAGGAGACUGCCAGUGAUAAACUGGAGGAAGGUGGGGAUGACGUCAAGUCAUCAUGGCCCUUACGACCAGGGCUACACACGUGCUACAAUGGCAUAUACAAAGAGAAGCGACCUCGCGAGAGCAAGCGGACCUCAUAAAGUAUGUCGUAGUCCGGAUUGGAGUCUGCAACUCGACUCCAUGAAGUCGGAAUCGCUAGUAAUCGUAGAUCAGAAUGCUACGGUGAAUACGUUCCCGGGCCUUGUACACACCGCCCGUCACACCAUGGGAGUGGGUUGCAAAAGAAGUAGGUAGCUUAACCUUCGGGAGGGCGCUUACCACUUUGUGAUUCAUGACUGGGGUGAAGUCGUAACAAGGUAACCGUAGGGGAACCUGCGGUUGGAUCACCUCCUUACCUUAAAGAA